UACCAUGCAGUCGAACGGUAAGGCUCCAGCUUGCUGGGGUACACGAGUGGCGAACGGGUGAGUAACACGUGGGUGACCUGCCCUGCACUUCGGGAUAAGCCUGGGAAACUGGGUCUAAUACCGGAUAGGACCAUGGUGUGGAUGCUGUGGUGGAAAGUUUUUUCGGUGUGGGAUGGGCCCGCGGCCUAUCAGCUUGUUGGUGGGGUAAUGGCCUACCAAGGCGGCGACGGGUAGCCGGCCUGAGAGGGUGGACGGCCACAUUGGGACUGAGACACGGCCCAGACUCCUACGGGAGGCAGCAGUGGGGAAUAUUGCACAAUGGGCGGAAGCCUGAUGCAGCGACGCCGCGUGGGGGAUGACGGCCUUCGGGUUGUAAACUCCUUUCACCAUCGACGAAGGGUUUCUGACGGUAGAUGGAGAAGAAGCACCGGCUAACUACGUGCCAGCAGCCGCGGUAAUACGUAGGGUGCGAGCGUUGUCCGGAAUUACUGGGCGUAAAGAGCUCGUAGGUGGUUUGUCGCGUCGUCUGUGAAAUUCCGGGGCUUAACUCCGGGCGUGCAGGCGAUACGGGCAUAACUUGAGUACUGUAGGGGAGACUGGAAUUCCUGGUGUAGCGGUGAAAUGCGCAGAUAUCAGGAGGAACACCGGUGGCGAAGGCGGGUCUCUGGGCAGUAACUGACGCUGAGGAGCGAAAGCAUGGGGAGCGAACAGGUUAU
rnacentral:rRNA from 1 species